rnacentral:lncRNA from 1 species
AGGACACAGAAAAAUAACUGACAAACUGACAAUACAGGUGGACAGUUUCAAAUUUCCUGCAUUGCUGAGAAUUCUGCCAGACACACUAUGGCUUAUGGAUCAGAGAUGGAUGCCCCAACAUUACAGAAGAACUUCAGAUCAAAAUCAGAAGAAACUGGAAAUCAACAGGUAAGAAAUUAUACAAAUACUGAGAAUUAAUACUGCAUUGUUUUGUGACCAAUGGCCAGGGAGGAAAUCAAGGUGGAAAUUAAAAAGAUCCUAGAAUCAAAUGAAAAUGAAAUCAUAUGUUACCAGAACACUGGUGACUACCAUUUUUUCAUCAUACCUGAUGACUACCAUUUUCUUCUCUGUUUAUUGAUUGAUUCCAUUUUCAGUCCUCACCUGAAAGUGACUUUUAGAGAAAGACACCAUUUGUCUUUCUGCCUCACUGUUUCUCUGUAGACAUAACCCUUGCCCAUCACUCAGAUCCUCCUCCAUGAAGCCAUGGUGCUGAAGAUGCUGAUGGACAUCCUUUCAGUGGUGAGCUGACUACUGGGGCUCACAGUCUCCAACUGCAGGGACAAGAAUUACAAACCUGCACAUUGUCUCCAACACAGCUUUCAGCAUUAGGUAGAAGCUGACAGUUAUGAAAAGGAUUAGAGGUUCUGGAACAAGGUAUCUUGGGAUCAACAAAUGGAUAAAAGAACAUACAGAUGGACGAAGGCAUAUCUACUACUUCAGGAAAGACCUUGCAGCUGAAACCAGCCAAAUUCUGGGAGAGAGCAUGGAACACAGAGGAGCACAACAAACUGGUCAUGGCUAUGCAUGACCAACACACCCCCCCUGUGACCAGCAGCUAAGCAGUCAGCCAAUGGCAGUAAACUUGCAGGAUUCUGUGUGGGAAAAGGACAGCCCAGAGACAGUGGGCCCCAGCCUUAAAUUUCUAUAUUCUCAGGACACAGCUUUCACCACCCCAUUGUCUUUGUUCCAUUGCUCCUUCAUAUUCUUCCCCCUUUUCAUUAGCUUUUCCCCUUUUCCUACCUUCACUCUCUCCUUUCCUGCAUCCCAACCUCACUGGCAUUGCUUCUUCUCCUCUCUCCAUCCUGCUACCUCUCUCCAUCUCUUAACCUUGCUUUUUUCUUUCUCUCACCCUUUUUACUCCCACAAACUCAGAUGCCAACUCAAGUGACAAUGAUGGAUAAAGUAGACACUCAGACAUCCAGCAGUUCAGAGAAAACAGAACCACAAAGAAUUCUACCAAGAACUACUUUCUGGUUUCUAGAAAGAUUUCAGCAAAUGCUCAAGGAUUAUUCCACAGAACAAGAAGACGCAAAGCCCAUUCGGGGCUGGGCAAUAUCUUGGUUACUUCCCAUCUUCCUGUACAAAGCCUGAAUGGCUCUGUGUAACACAGGCUAAAACAAUACAUUCUUUUCUAUGUUUUGUUAUGGUUUUUAAUUUAUUUUAAGUGGGAAGUAUCUGUGCUUGCAAGAGUUUUUGUGCACCAUGUGUAUGCAGUUUCCUGAAGGGAUAGAGGAGGGAUGAGAAUCUCCAGGGACAGGAACUAACAGGCAGGGGUAAGCUGUCAUUUGCGUCCAGUGAAACAACUAUUGCUACUCUGCAUAGUAGUUAAGGCUCUUCACUGCUGAGCCAUUUCUCCAAUUCAAGGACCAGAACUUUGGGAAUAAAAAAGUCACCAAGAUAAUUGCUGAAAAUGUAAUUAAAUGUCUUCAGACACUAAUGUUAUACAAUUUCGCUGAUUGCUACUUUUAGAUGUGAUAAAAUGGAAUGUGCGUAAACACAUUUUUCUUUUUAUUUCUUAUAAUCAAUAACUUCCCAGAAGGUGGUUUCAGUGUGAGAAUGUCUUGUAAAGUGCAUGAACUCUCUGUUACUCUAGCACUAUCACUCUGACUGUCUUCUGUCUUUAAAUCUGGCUCUGUCCAAAGGACCACUAGUCUACAAUCCACACUACCAGAGGAGCUAGGAAAAAAGGAGGACCUCAAGAGAAGACUGUAUAGUCCCUCAAUGAAGGGGAUGGGUACAAGAUCCCCUGACCAAAGUGGGAGCCCAGAAGCAGGGACAGGAAGGAGAGCCUUCAUCCUGUUGCUGUUCAAAGCAGAAACAGACAUCCACUACUAAGCACUGAACCACACUACUGGAAUUCAGUUGUGGAGAAGGAGGAGGGAUGAGCAAAGGAGCCAACACAGGGCUCGAGAGACCUGCAGAAACAGUGGACUUGACCUACUGAUAGCAUGGAGACCCUUGUCAUAAAGCUGGGAGAAUAGCAUUGGACAAAACCAAGCCCUCUGAAUGUGGGUGCCAGCUAGGAGCCCAAGACAGUCUAUGGAGCCAGUCUUUAUCCCUAGAGCACAAUGGUCUUUGGGAGCCCAUUCCCUAUGGAGUGAUAUUCUUGUAGCCCAGAUACAGCAAGGAUGGCCUAGGCCAUCCCCCAAAUGAUUUG